rnacentral:rRNA from 1 species
ACUCCUACGGGAGGCAGCAGUGGGGAAUAUUGCACAAUGGGCGCAAGCCUGAUGCAGCCAUGCCGCGUGUGUGAAGAAGGCCUUCGGGUUGUAAAGCACUUUCAGCAGUGAGGAAGGCGGAGUCGUUAAUAGCGGCCUCGUUUGACGUUAGCUGCAGAAGAAGCACCGGCUAACUCCGUGCCAGCAGCCGCGGUAAUACGGAGGGUGCGAGCGUUAAUCGGAAUUACUGGGCGUAAAGCGCAUGCAGGUGGUUUGUUAAGUCAGAUGUGAAAGCCCGGGGCUCAACCUCGGAAUAGCAUUUGAAACUGGCAGACUAGAGUACUGUAGAGGGGGGUAGAAUUUCAGGUGUAGCGGUGAAAUGCGUAGAGAUCUGAAGGAAUACCGGUGGCGAAGGCGGCCCCCUGGACAGAUACUGACACUCAGAUGCGAAAGCGUGGGGAGCAAACAGGAUUAGAUACCCU